rnacentral:lncRNA from 1 species
CGACUCCGAAACCAAUUUCGCGCCAUCGGCGCGACGCAGACGGGAACGUUCACGGCAGAAAUAGUAUUUACAAUCGACAAGUAAUAAUCAAGGAGAUUGUUACGUAACUAAACUAAAAGAAAGACAAGAGAAUAUGGAGGAGGAGAGAGUUUUUUAUUGAGGUAUAGAAAUGAUACAAGAGAGCACUAUAUAUAGGCUCUAGAAUUCAUAACAUAUACAUCACUAGUAUAACUACA